UGUGAUUAUUCUGAGAACUCUAUCGGAUAUUAUAAGUUUCUCACUCUGGCUGGAGCACAUACGGGUUCUUCUAAGGCCCACAUGACCUCCAGGAAUUUCUCUGGCCCACUGCUAAUGAAGACUCAUUUUUCUAUCUCAUGGAGUUUUCCUUUAUGUAGGCACAGUUCAGUUCUCACUCAAGGACUCCAGAGAACCUCUAUGUAAAUCUCCACAGUUCUCUCUCUGUGCAGCCCUCUUCUCUCUGUCAGUCUGCCUUGAUGAUUCUAGUCACCUUGGCCUCCAUAAACUUUGAUAUCUUGCUCUUAAAUUCAGCAAAUCAUGAUAUUCUCUCUCAGAUUGUCUCAUACCAUGCUGGAGGCUGGAAAUCACUUUCACUAGAUGGAAAAGUUCUCCAAGUCCCUACCCGGCCCAGAAGCCCAGCCGGUUUCACCUCUCACUGGCACUGGCUGCGGGACUUUGCGGCACUUAUCCCGGGCACUCCGGCAGCCUAGAGAAAGCUCCUCCCAGACAAUCAAGAGGAAAAGAGGGGAAGCAAGAAAGAGACGGAGACCCGCCAUCGUGGCCAAAGACCCCGCGAAGAGGGAACGGUGGUCGACGCACGGGACCCAGCCUCCGAUCAAGCCCAGCAGGCGCUGAGAUCACGCCCACCCAGACCGCACGCCGGCCGGCCAGCGCUGGGCGCAGCCCCGGCUCCUGCUGGCACCUCUCUCUUCACACUUCCCCAAGAGCAGAGGGAGCCGGCUCAGGUCUCGGCCAGCCCCAGAGAAGGGCCCUCAUAGUGCAGAGGUGGGCUGAAGGGCUCCUGGAGCGCAGCCAGAGCGGACGCGGAGGCCGAGGAAGCGCCGAGAGCCAGCGAGGGCUGCUAGCACGUUGUCACCUCUCAUGAUGUUGUAAAAUAAGAAAGGGUAAAUGUUAUUUAAGAAUUCCUUCCUGGCCAGGCACGGUGGCUCACGCCUGUAAUCCCAGCACUUUCGGAGGCUGAGGCAGGCGGAUCAUGAGGUCAGGGGAUCCAGACAGGAGAUAGAGACCAUCCUGGCUAACACGGUGAAACCCCGUCUCUACUAAAACUCCAAAAAAUUAGCCGGGCGUGGUGGCGGGCGCCUGUAGUCCCACCUACUCCAAAGACAGAGGCAGGAGAAUGGCGUGAACCCGGGAGGCGGAGCUUGCAGUGAGCCGAGAUGCCGCCACUGCACUCCAGACUGGGCGACAGAGUGAGAGACUCUGUCUCAAAAAAAAGAAAAAAAAAAGAAAAGAAUUGCUUGUUUCCUGCUGUAGUUAUUUGUCAAAAGAUACAAAAAAUCUAUAAGAGUUAAGCAAAGCUAUAUUUAUUUUGCUGCAACACUACUAUGCACAGUGACAUGGUCAAGUUGCUUUUUAUAAUGAUUUAUAGUGAUAUUAAUUUGCGUCAGUCGUUUUCAUGACCCCAAAGCCAACUCAAUAAUACCAGAAAAUACUUGUUUGCUUGCCUACAUUUUGUAAUAAUCCAAUGUCCUGAAAUAAAAAUGAAUAUUUUCUUCCUGGAAAUAAAGUGAGAUAAUUUUCUUCUUCCAAGAGAGUCAUGAAACAAGAACAGAAUGACAUUAUACUAAACUAUUUCACAAAUAUGGGUCAACAGUGGAGGCUUUUUUGUUCAUUUAUGUAAAUUUGAUUUGGCUCUAUUUUCCUGAGUUGCAUUUUAUGCUUCUUUCACCUGCCUUGCCAAAUGAAAAGAAAAAUCAUUUAUUUAUUAAAACAUACACUAAUACAAGAAAAUAAUUUCACUCUUCACAAACUUUGGCAUUAUGAAGUCACUGGUUACUGGAGAUUUAAUUUCUGUAACAUAUCUGAAGUGCUUAUUUUUUUCUUUCCAUGAAGGAAACCUUUUGGAAUUAAGAUAUGGUACAUUGAACUAAACGAGGAUUGCAUUUGCUGUUUCUGUGAUAACAUUUUACAUCUGAAAUUCCAAUAAAUAUUUCUCUUCUUGCUUUGAGGUGGUUUAGUUAAUCAUUCAGGUGGUUGGCUUUCAUAAGAAGUAAAGGCGCGCCAGCAUUUAUAGUUUCCCAGAGUUCGUUUUUUGCCUCAAGCUUGUAUUUAUUCUUAUUACACUCACUAGCUUAGAUACCAGGUGAAUACCUGGGAGAAAGAAAAAAUUAAUUUAAAAAGUAAUAAAAAUAAAAGAACAAAAAAACACAAAACUAUUCAACAUGCCAGCAAUCCUGUUCUCUUAAGAAACCUACCUGUUUUUUUCAAUGCGUAUAAGUUUUAGCAUUUUAUAGCAAUUAGAUGAGUCUCUAUAUCAUUAGAACUUAUGUCCUUGGAAUUAGGACAAUACUAUUUUCUGCAAUAAAUAUUUGGCUCUAGAAAUCUAUUUUGACCUGUACUAUAAUGCAUAGCAGCAGAAUUAAAAUAUUGUGUGUUAUCAUCAAAAGUUUCAGCCUUAUUUUUUCACAUUUGAAUAUAAAUAUUAAAAUGAUGAAGGCCCCUUUUAGUCUUUUUAUUCUUAGAGAAGGCUGAAUAAAUGUUAUAAAACAAGAAAAAGACUGUAAAAGAAUAAUUGCUAAUUAUAAAAAAAAUUUAAAUAUAUCAUCAAGCCAUAAUAGCGGUUCUCUAUUUCCUUUUUUAAUUUAAAAUGGACAUGAACAAACUUUCAUAAUACCUUUGUGGAAUCUAGUUAGAGCUUUACUCCAUUACAGAACAGAAACUUUUCACUGUGAAGAGAUCAAAAGCACUGCUUUCCUUUGUGGCAAAUGAACAUUUAAUUAUCUAACGCUAAAUAAAAUUUGCUGGCAAAAGAUAUGCUAGUAAAAAAACAACACAAGGCUUUUUUCUGACAGUAUGAUUUACAUAGCUACAUUUUCAUUACUUUUAUUUUUCUACAUAACUAGUGUCUUUUCAGUUGCAAAUGUUUGACAUUCUGACAAGUAGUGUGGCAGAGUCUUAGAUUAUAGGUUGCAUUUAGCCAAAAGAAAGACUUCGAAUGGAAUUUUUUUCUAUUGACACACUUUCUAACAACAUACUUAUUUUCUAAAAAGGUUUUUAUAACUUAGUGUUGAUAAUAUCAAAUAUCUAAGCAAUUUUGCUUAAAAAGCAUAGAACACCAAUAUUUAAUGAAGAUUAGUUAAAUAGCACACAUUGACUACUUGUUUAAAAAUAUUCAGAAAAGUUUUGACACAUGCUAAAGUGCUGAAGUAUGGUUUUGGCCUUCCAUAAAAAUAAUAUAUUGUGCAUAAAUGGAAGCAGAAUGAAGAAAGCGAUGAGAAAACAUCUAGAAAAUUGCUAGUGUGGUAAACAUAUUAAAAUAAUUUGGCAUGGGAAAUGUUUUUUCUCUUUUAAAUUUAAUUAUGGUAAGAAAGAAGAGCAUUUUAAAGAAGAUGUUAAUUUCCAUCAACAAUAUGCAAGAGAAACUAAUGUAGAGUAUGUAUAUUAGAGAAACACAUAACUGCAUAUAUGUAUGGUUAAAACUUAAUGCCUUCUGGCUUUGUCAUUUAUAAGAAUUAUUACCUACACAAGGAGUACUGUGCUGAACCCUUUGCAUUUCCUUAGUUUUAUCACAUAAAAGCAAACACAUCUCCAUUUUCUAGAUUUUCUUUCUUUUUUUUUUUUUUUUUGGUGUUCACCUGGUAUUUACCUCUAAAUUUCUAAAUAACUGUGCAAAGGAGGGUUAACCCAAUAGAUGAGAUUGCUCAAACCUUCCACAUUCCCAAGAAAAAUCUAUUUUCCGGACUAGUCCCUGGCUGGCUCAUGGAAGCUUAAGCACUGGGCUUCUCAGAGUCAUGAAAAUAAGGUCGCUCCACUUUUUACUCUUUGGUUCUUGGACUCAUACAGUCUAUCUUAAUGGUUAAAUGACCGUCAGGUCAACACACAUUCUGCAUCUCAAAGGACAACACUACAAUCCCACGCAUAUUAUCUCCAAGUUUAUGCUUAGCUUCACUUUUAAUUUUCUCAGGCCUCACCCUUUUGGGUGAUAUGGGGUUUAGUAUGCAACCGUCUUGUGUCCAUUAACACACCUCUUUCACCAUAAAACAGGUUUCUUUGCCUGUGAGUAUAUAAUACAGGGUCCCAUGCCAAUAUAUCUGUGAACAAUACUAUCCUUAAGUAGUAGUAUGGUCCUAGCCAUUGCUGGCAAGAAAAGCAAAUUUUAAAUGAGCCUUACUCAAAACCAACUGCUCCCCUUUUUGGAAUGAUCCUAAAUGCUCAACUUGCAACCAAGUGGCUGGUUGGCCUCCCCAUAGAACAGUGUCCUGUUGAGGUCAUGGUUUCUGAUGAUGACAGGAUGGAUAUUCUGCAGCCACAAUAGAAACCUGGAUGAGAGGGAGCCUAUGCUGUUGGCUUGCCAGCAGCCACCUUGGCUACCUCCACUAUGAGCGCCUCCACUAUAAGCAGCUAAGGAGAGAUACUAGCUGGCAUUUGCUGGAUAAAAGACAUCCCAUCCACUUUGUUGUUUAGUGUCUGCUCUUCAGUGGGUGUUCUCUGAUGGGCCGUGAUGUAAGAUAACAAUACAUCUUCUUUCUACCUGAUUCCAUGUGUUCAUCUACACUACUUUUUCCCAAAUCGAGGUCAGUGUUAGGGCUCUGAACACAAUACCCUAAAGUUUGGUACCUGGUGUGCUGAGUACUUUGAACUAAAGGAGAUUGGAAGGACCUCAGAAGCAAGGUCUUUCUGACUUCUUAUCCUCCUGUUUCCUUCUUCUCUUUCUUUGCUGAAGUCAGUCAUGGAACUCAGAAUUCCUAUUCUCCAAGGUGGAUCAUAGAAAGUAAAAUUCUUCUUCCCCGAGGCACGUCAUGGAAACAAAAAUUCUCUUCCAAAGCAAGCCAUAAAACCUAGAAGGCUCAUUCUAACUUUUUUCCCUUCUCCCUUGCAGACACUUAUUCUAGGAAGGUCCUGCCCACACCUAGGAGGAAGAAACCCUACACAAAGAGGCUAAUAAAUAUUUGAAUAGAAAGGCAUUAUUGUGCUUCCCCCUUCAGUCUAUUACCAAUGGAUUAUACACUUUUGUCUAGUCAGCUUUCUACGUGGAUACCCAUUCUUCAUGAGCCUAAGCAUCAAAAUAGACAGUUCCCCCUGGGUCAUUGGGUCUUCAUUUCUGAAGGCUCCUGUGUCAUGUAAAAAACUGAUUAAAUAAAUUGCUAUCCUUUUCUCUUGUUAAUCUCUGUCUUUUGUUACAGGAGUGUCAGCCAUGACCUAUGAUGUGUGAAGAAAGAUAUCUCACACCUUUCUACCCCUUCACCGCUGUCUAUUCCACUCUUAAUCUGCACUCAACUACUGUGACUCUCCUCUUGGUCUCUUAUCCCAGAGUACUGUGACUCUACCUCUAAGCCUUGCUUCCUGCUCUUGUGCCAUUUUUUACAUCUUUCUCUAAUCUUACGGAUUAAAUUAUAUCCAUUUGAACGUCUGGGAUGAAAUCUGUUUUCUGAUGCAUCCCUUACAAAUAUAAGGACAUUUCAACAAAUAUUUAAGGGAGGAUAUCUCAGAGGAGGCUGUUUUGGACAGAAUUAACACCAAGAUCUAAUAAUGAAAUCAUACCUUGCCUGGAUCUUUGAAAAACAGUACGACCAGUGUGAAUGAAUGGAGCAACCAAGAGGUUAGGCAGUAGGAGAUGAGGCCAGAGAAGAAAGAGGGUGUGGUAGCCCCCUAAUCCUGGCACUUACUUCCACUGGAUCUAAAAUCCAGCACGGAAUUAUGCUGACCACAUCAGCCUAACUAAUAUUGAUCUAAGUAACAUUUAUGUUCUAGCACCUAAAUCAGGAGUCUGCAAAGGAUAGCCCACUGCCAAAAUCUGGCCCACUCUCCAGUUUUUGUAACUAAAAUGUUAUCAGAACUCAGCCAAGUCCAUUCAUUUACAAACUGUCUACGGUGGCAGAGACAAUACGGCUCACAAAGUCUAAAAUAUUUACUCUCUGGCUCUUUAUAGAAAAAAUUUGCUGACCCCUUGUCUAAAUUAUAGCAAGUAUGAAAUCCUCUAUCAUCAGCAAUGGCAUAGAAGGCAGCAUAGGAAUUUUUAAAUUUGCCCUUGAAUUAUAUUGUAAGCCUUAUGUAUGAGGUCCUAUUUUUGCAAAGUGCUGAGCACCCCAUCCUAUAAUGAGGAGUGCCCACUUUCCUUUCUCAAUUGGUCUGUCUUAUAACAUUUACGAAGAGACUCACAGUCUCUCUGUGGCCUUGUAUUCUUGGCUAAUAUCCCUUUUUUUUCUUCCUGGAGUACUCUCUACUCUGUCUUAGAGUUUCCAACUGUUUAUCUGAAGUAGUGGUGUCAGCCUCUGCAAUGCUUUCUGUUCUACAGGGUGUAGGGUCUUUUUUUUUUUUUUUUUUUUUUUUUUGAGACAGGGUUUCACUUCCUUGCCCAUGCUGGAUCACAGUGGCAUGAUAAUGGCUCACUGCAGCCUUGACCUCCUAGUCCCAAACUAAUCAUCCCAACAGCCUCCCAAGUAGCUGGGACUACAGGUACACACCAUCGUGCCUGGCUAACUUUUGAACUGUUUUGUAGAGGUUUCCCCAUUUUGCCUAGGCUGGUCAUGAACUCCCGGCCUCAAGCCAUCCAACCCACCUCAGCCUUCCAAAGCACUGAGAUUACAGGCAUAAGCCACAGUGCCCAGCUGAGUGUAGGGUCUUGAUCCUCUGGUCUGUCCCACCUUGUCUUCUUUUGCUACAAGUAAUUAGACAAAGUUCUAAGGUACAACAGGGAUGCUGAGUCUAGUUUGUUUAAAGAUACUAUUCAGUUCCUAUGAAAAGAUCCAUGAGUGUGUAGCUUGGUUUUUAGUACAGCCUUGACAAGUUAAUCCAGUAGAGAAACCUGCAUGCAAAUGUGAUUUCUGAUUAUAGCCUUGGCUACUUACGCAGUUUUUGGUGUUACUGAAUUUUUUUAAACAACUUUCCAAUUUCACAGGCUUACCCAAGGGUAUGAUCAGUGAAAACCACAGCUUCUUUGUUAGUUGUAAAGGACUCGGAAGUCAGUGAUGGCUGUUGUUGACUCACUCAUAAACAGCACAUUAAGGAAAAGGAAGUUGAACAGUCGUCUACAGUUGUAAAAGGAGCACAAAUAGUCUCUGUUUAAUUUUUUUUUCUUUUUAUAUGUGGCCCGUCUAACAAUUCUAUCAUGAUCAUCGUCAAUCAUUAUCAUCCUCCUCAACAAAGCUCUAAUUUUAUUUAGUUUCAGAAAAAUUUAAGCUGAUGGCAGUUCAAUCCCUUUGAACCUGUGAUUGAGAUCAUAUUGUUCUUUAAUUGUGAAGCCUCAUUUAGAUUAAUAUUAAUAAAAUAUUUAUAUAAAUUUUGAUGAUUUUAUAAAUGUAGUCUUGACAGAAUGAUAUGAUCUCAAUCACAGAAUAAUAUUUGUGAGAAACCAAUGCUACCUCAUUCAGUAACUUUACCUUAUAUAGUUAUUGGCUGUUUAGUUUUUCUUCUUCGUGGUCAAACAAAACAUAGUAAUCAGAUUUACAAACCUAGUAAUCAGAUUAUGAGAUUAUUCAACUCAAAUAUAUACAAUAUAAUUGUACUACAUGAGCUGUUUGUACAAACAUUUUCACUAACAUCACCAGAAUUGAGAAAUAUGUAAAGUAAUGUAUAUUUUUUAUUAGAUAGUUUAAUUCCAGCCAAGUAUCAAGCCGUUUCCAUAAUCUGACAUACUAGCUAAGGGAAAAUAAUGAGGCCACUCAGAAGUUUCUUUUUCUAGUUGUCUCAGUAGCUUGGAUGUGAUAAGCAUGAAAAAACAUGAAUUGCUAAACCAAAUUAAAAAAAAAUUUCUGAAACUAUAUAACACUUCUGAGAGGGCUGCAGAUUUGUUAGCAGGUUGUUUUUCAGUCUGAAAAAAAUGAUUAAAUAUUUCUACUGGGAAUGGAACAUUUCAGUCAUAACAAAAUAUAAACUCUAAGGAAGCUAAUACUAAUAUUGUUUGUUAAAAUCCUUUUGUAUUCUUUGCUUUUCAUAGAGGGAGAGAGUUAAGUUACAAGGGAAUGGUGAACCACAACAAAUGAAAAGUCGUUUUGUGAGUAGUGUACCUUUGCAUUGCUGUAUUUCGAAAGGUUUGAAGUGGGGAUUUCCAGUGACAAAGAAACACAAUUUGAUCUCAUAACCCUAGACACCCAGACUUAUUUUAAAUGACAGAGACUUAAGAUUGAGAGAAAAUCUGAGUCAUCGUCCAGUUCAGUACUUUUCACUUAGUGGGAAAUGUUCUGGUCACCUUGGGUUUGAACAGUUUAGCAACAUUGCAGGAUCUUCUACAGAUGCAUACAUAAGCAUUUGAACAAAUUCUCUAGGUAGGCAAAGAUCAUUGCAGCUGAAUGUCUAAUGAUCUUUAUCGCAGACUUAUCUAUCCAAUGUUCCAGGGUAAAUGUUCUAUUAUUAACAUUCCUGAGGAAAUACAUUCAUGGAUAUAUAUGUUUAGCUAUAUUAUUUAACUACUAUUUCAAAUCUAUAUCAAGACUGGUCUUAACAUUUCUAAAAUAAGUAACUAUAUCAACAUCAUAAAAAAUGCUGCCACAUUUUUUUCGAGAAAGAAAUACUCUCUAGACAUAGUGUUAAACCUUUCUGCAUUAGAACUAAAAACCGUGAAAAGAAGAACAGUUUUUAUUGUGUUAAGACACUGAUUGCUGGUUAGGAAAGAGCGUGUGUGUGUGUGUGUGUGUCAGAGAGACAGAGAGAGAGAAAAGCAGGGGAAGCUUGUAAUGCAUAAUCAAAUAGUAAGGUUAUGAGAGAUUUAUCCCAGAUUAUCUAUAAUUUUCAUUGGUCCAUGAAUGGUGGAGGAAAGGUAAAAAUAUCUUUAAUUCCAGAUUUCAUCUUUGGCCACCAACAAAGGGGCAUCACUUAUCCUAUUGGUUUUAAAUACCAAUGAACUAGUGUAAAAGAUGAGGAUUCAUAAAUUAUUUCACUCAGAACAAAGCUUUCAAAUGUCUGAAACUAGCCAGAAUCUUGUCAACAAUUUCCAAAAUCAGAUUCUGAAAUUUGAUGUUGUUUGCAAAACUCCUUCACCAAGAUUCCCAAGAAAGGAAAAUGAUAGGAGUGAAGUUUGGGAGAGAGGACAUAAUAAAAACAUAAAAUUGAAGAAUUUGUUCUUGAUCAUUGUGGAAAUAGGAGAAUACCAUAUUUUAUAUUUAUUAAUUAACUUGUCUCUAAUGACAGAAAGAAAUGUAAAGAAAUACUAUGAACACCACAAAAUUAGACAGCCUAGGUGAAAUGGACUGUACACCUCAAAAUUAGAUAACCUAGAUGAAAUGGACAAAUUUUUAGCCACGCAUAAAUUACCUAAUGUGAUUCAAGAAGAAGAAGAAAUUCUUAACGGCCUACAACAAGAAUGGAGAAUAGACCAGUAAUCAAAACUCCUCCUCAACAACAACAAAAGCCCAGUAUCAGAUGUCUCACUGGUGAAUUCUGUCAAACGUGUAAAAAAGAAUAAACACCAAUUCAUCUUAAAUUCUUCCAAAAAAUAGAAGAAGGAGCAUUUCUCAAGUCAUUACAUGAGACAAGCAUUAUCCUUAUACCAAAGUCAGAUGGAGAAAUCCAAAGAACAGAAAGUUACAGACCCAUAUUUCCUAUGAAUACAAGUAGAAAAAAGGUAAUUAAUAAAGCAUUCCAAUGUAUAAUAUUAUCUCAAAGAAUAAAAUACCUAGGAACAAAUUUGAACAAGGAAGUGAAAGACUUGUACACUGAAAACUACAAAACACUGCUAAAAAAGUUAAAGAAGAUCUACAUAAAUGAAAAUAUUGGGAGACUUAGUAUUGUUAUGUUUCCAAUUCUACCCAAAGUGAUCUACAAGUUCAAAGCAAUUCUUAUCAAAAUUCCAACAGCCUCUUUGCAGAAAUGAAAAAGCCAGUCCUCAAACUCAUAUGGAGUUGCAAAGGGAUCUGAAUACUCCAAACAAUGCUGAAAAAGAAAACAAAAUGAAAGGACUCACACUUCCCAAUUACUGCAAAGCUAGAUGGUCAAAUCAGUAUGGCCCUGGCUAAUGGAUAAACAGACAAGCCAAUAGAAUUCAAUAGAGAGUCCAGAAAUAAACCCAUACAUCUAUGGAACACUGAUUUUUAAUAAGAGCACCAAGUGUAUUCUAUGGGGAAAAGAAUAGUCUUAUCAACAAUGGUGUGGGACAACUGUAUUUCUACAUUUAAAAGAAUAAAAUUGGGUCUGCGUUUUAUGCCAUAUAACAAAUUAAUUCAACAUGAUUCACUGACCCAAUAUAAGAGCUAAACUUAUAGCAUGCUUAGAAGAAAACAUGAGUAAAUCUACAUGAUUUUUAAAUUUGGCAUUUAAUCUUUUUUUGUGUAAAACUAAAAUAAUGAGCAACAAAAGAAAAGUUAGACAAAUUGAAAUUCAUCAAAAUUUAAAUAUAUUGUUUAUCAAAGGACAUUAUAAAGAAAGUGAAAUAACGUAUAGAAGUGGAUAAAAUAUUUGCAAAUUAUAUAUCUAAUAGGGGUUUAAUAAUCAGAAUCUACAAGGAAGACCUACAACUCAACAACAGAAAUGCACACAACCAUCUGGGCGCAGUGGCUCAAGCCUGGAAUCCCAGCACUUUGAGAGGCCGAGGCGGGUGAAUCACUUGAGGUCAGGAGAUCGAGACGAGCCUGGCAAACGUGGUGAAACUCCGUCUCUACUAAAAGUACAAAAAUUUGUCGGGCGUAGUGGUGGGUGUCUGUAAUCCCAGCUACUUGGGAGGCUGAGGCAGGAGAAUCGCUUAAACCUGGAAGGCGGAGGUUACAGUGAGCCAAGAUCGCACCAUUGCACUCCAGCCUGGGCGACAAGAGCGAAACUCCGUCUGAAUAGGUGUUUCUCAAAUAAGUUAUACAAAUGACCAAUAAGCACACAAAAAAGACGUCCAACAUUUUUAGCCAUUAGGGAAAUUCAAAUAAAAGCCACAAUGAGUUGUUACUUCAUAUCUACCAGGAUAAUUAUAUAAUUUAAUUUUUUUAUAAAGAAAAAUAAUAAAUCUUGGUGAGAAUGUGGAGAUAUUGUAACCCUCAGACACUGAUGAUAGGAAUGUAAAAUAGUGCAGAUGCUGUAGAAAAGUUUGGCAGUUUUCCAAGAUGUUAAUAAUAGAACUCCCAUGUGACCCAGCAACUUCUCUCUUAGAUAUAUGACCAAAAGAAUGGAAAACAAAGUCUCAUGCAGGUACUUGUAUACCAAUAUUUAUUAUUCAUAAUUGUCAAACGGUGAAAGCAACCCAAGUAACUAUCCACAGAUGAAUGGAUAAACAAAAUAUUCUAUAUAACUGCAAUAAAAUAUUAUUCAGCAAUAGAAAGAAAUGCAGUUCUGAUGCAUGCUAAAACAUGGAUUAACCUUGAAAACAUUAUGCUGAGUGAAAUGAGCCAGACACAAAAGUAUUAAUAUUGUAUGAUUCCACCUAUAUAAAAUAUAUAUUAUAGGGACAUAAAAUAGAGGAGAGGCUACCAUAGGCUGGGGUGAAGGCAAAUGAAGGGAAAUGUUGAAAAAUAAAAGAACAAAUUGAAAGAACACACACUACCCAAUUACUACAAAGCCAGGUAAUCAAAUCAGUAUGAUCCUGGCACAUGGAUAAACAUACAGGCCAAUGGAAUAAAACUGAGAGUUCAGAAAUAAACCUAUACAUCUAUGGAAAAUCGAUUUUUAACAAGAGCACUCACCUUGCUUAAUGAGUUUCUAUCUGAGUUGAGAAUUUCUCCCUGGGAUGAUAAAAAGUUUUGCAAAUAAUGAUGAUGGUUACAUAGCAUUGCAAAUGUAAUCGACACCACUAAAUGAUAUAUGUAAAAUAAUUAAGAUAUCAAAUUUUAUUUUAUGUGCAUUAUACCCCAAGGAAAAAAAAUAAAAAGGAAAUAAAACAGAAUGUAUGGAAUAUUGAUUUUAAUUGAUCAAUAUGCCAUUCCAACUAGUUUUGAUUUUAUCCCGUUGAAUUUAUCCUGGUUAUUUUUAAUUAUAUCAUCAUAAUUACAUUUAAUAAAAAUGUUACAAAAAUUAAAAAUUUAGAGAUUGGCAGAAUGGAUAAAAGUAUGGUUAACUAUAUGCUCUCUAAAAGAGAUACUUUAUAUUCAAAGACACAAUAUGUUGAAAUUAAAGUGAAGGAAGGGGAUAUACCAUGAGUAGCCAAAAUAGAGCUAGAUAUACUAAUACAGACACAUAUAUUUUAAGACAAAAUUUGUUACUGAAGUCAAAGACAUUAUAAAAUGAUGAGUGAUUCAAUUCAUCAGGAAGUUAUAACAAUUAUAAAUGUAUAUAUGCCUAGCUAAAGAAAUCAGAAACAAAAUAAACAAUCUAACAAUGUACCUUAAGGAACUAGAAAAGCAAGAAUAAACAAAACCCAAAGUGAAUAAAUGAAAACAAAUGAUAAAAAUCUUAGCAAAAAUGAAUAAAAAUUAGACUAAAAAUAAUACAGAAGAUCAAUUUUAAAAAGUUGUUUUUUGAAAAGACAAACAAAUUCAACAAAC
rnacentral:lncRNA from 1 species